ACCCUACGGGGGGCAGCAGUGGGGAAUAUUGCACAAUGGGGGAAACCCUGAUGCAGCAACGCCGCGUGAGUGAAGAAGUAUUCCGGUAUGUAAAGCUCUAUCAGUAGGGAAGAAGAAAGACGGUACCUGACUAAGAAGCCCCGGCUAACUACGUGCCAGCAGCCGCGGUAAUACGUAGGGGGCAAGCGUUAUCCGGAUUUACUGGGUGUAAAGGGAGCGUAGACGGCAUAGCAAGUCUGAAGUGAAAGCCCGUGGCUCAACCGCGGAACUGCUUUGGAAACUGUUAAGCUG
rnacentral:rRNA from 1 species